UACGGGGGGAGCAAGCGUUGUUCGGAUUUACUGGGCGUAAAGGGCGCGUAGGCGGCGUGACAAGUCACUUGUGAAAUCUCCGGGCUUAACUCGGAGCGGUCAAGUGAUACUGUCGUGCUAGAGUGCGGAAGGGGCUACUGGAAUUCUCGGUGUAGCGGUGAAAUGCGUAGAUAUCGAGAGGAACACCUGCGGCGAAGGCGGGUAGCUGGGCCGACACUGACGCUGAUGCGCGAAAGCGUGGGGAGCGAACAGG
rnacentral:rRNA from 1 species